CAAUAAACCAACUUUUAAUGGAGCAGCAUCUUUCAAUCGAAGGACGGCAACUUAUCUCUGGGUCCUCGCUCUGCGGUGACACCAAUUCUCCAAGCUGCCCAAUCUCACUCAAGGGAUGAGCCUCAGGCUGGUUGACAAGGGAGUGAAGGUCAUGUCUGAUGCCCAGUGAUGACCAUUCCUCAGCUUUCUGGGUCUGAAGAGGACGGCUGGUCCUGACGGAUGGCGAGGGCUUCCUCUGCCUUCCUUCAUCCAGAAGGAACCAGCGAAGGGUUAACUGAAAGGGCCCACUGCAGCUGUGGGCCGGCCUCUCUACAGAAGGACGGAAUGAGCUGGUUUAACGUGCAGAGACCACAAAGAGACAAAAAUCAGCUGCCCCGCGUCCUGAAACACGUACCCCUGCCCUUGAUCAGGCAGCAUUUUCAUUAUGAUGUUUGCUAUUUU
rnacentral:lncRNA from 1 species